rnacentral:rRNA from 1 species
CUGUUCGCCAAUUAAAGUGGUACGUGAGCUGGGUUCAGAACGUCGUGAGACAGUUUGGUCCCUAUCUGCCGUGGGUGUAGGAUGAUUGAGAGAGGCUGUUCCUAGUACGAGAGGACCGGGAUGGACAUACCUCUGGUGGACCUGUUGUCGUGCCAACGGCACAGCAGGGUAGCUACAGUAUGGAAGAGAUAAACGCUGAAAGCAUCUAAGCGUGAAACUCGUCUCGAGACUAGUCAUCCCAAUUAGAGUCGUGGAAGACUACCACGUUGAUAGGCCAGGUGUGGAAGCACAGCAAUGUGUGGAGCUUACUGGUACUAAUAACUCGAACGGCUUGUUUUU